rnacentral:tRNA from 1 species
GGAGAGGUGCCUGAGCGGUUGAAGGGGCCGGUCUCGAAAACCGGUAGGCGAUUUAUCGCCUCGUGAGUUCGAAUCUCACCCUCUCCG